UUGGCCAGAGCUUCCCCGCACCCGCUACUUGGAGGAGCUGCUGGAGCUUCCCUGCGCCUACUACCCGGAGGAGCCGCUGGAGCCCCCUCAGCCCUGCUGUUACCCGGAGGAGCCACCGGAGCAAGCCAGCCCGGACUACCCUGAGGAACUACCGGACCUGCCACCCAGCCCUGGCCGUGAGGAGCCCAUGCUGCUGAACUUCCCGGGGGGCGACCCCAUGGACCAGCACCUGGCACUGGCCACUUUGGAAGACAGGAUACUGGGCUAGAUGGAUCAUUGGUCUGAUCCGGUCCAAGGUUGUCAAGGUUCAUGAAAAUUGUGCCCAAAUUUGUGAUUAGAACGCAAGAAGAAAAGGGCAGAAAAAAAUUGUUGAAGUGGACCAAAUACAACCCAUCGGCCUGCAGCUGCCCUCAUCUUUUAAGGGACACUUUCAACAUACAAAUCCUAAAUUGUAAACAAAGAAGUGACUUACUAAUAACACUUUAGAUUGUUAUAAAUAAAAGAUGUUUUAAAAGCUAAUUUUAUUCUCUUUACUUAUGUUCUUUGAUUACCUUUUGCAUUUCUCUCAGUUUAGACAGUGAAAAUGAUUUCAGGUGAGGAGUGUUUAUCCAUUUGAGAACAUCUCUUCACUGUUUCUUUUUUCUUUUUUUUUAAUUCCAGAAAUAUGUCUGGAGCUGGUAGGUUUUAUAAAAGCUUGUAUUUAGAACAUGUCAGUAUUGGCUUUAUUUUGUCAGUGGCCUACCAUGAUGGCCUUUCUCAUAAAUGAAUUGUUUCAAAUAGCUUCUAUGUGGAUCAAGAAGGCACCUAUUCUUGGGCCAUGCUUCUGUAUUAAAGAUAAAGUUGAAUGCAGUUUGCUACUAUUAAUGCAAAUAAGUGCAGCCUUUAGUCUCCUGGCAUGUUGUCAAUGCAAUUAGUGACAUUACGCAAA